rnacentral:rRNA from 1 species
UACGUAGGGUGCAAGCGUUAUCCGGAAUUAUUGGGCGUAAAGAGCUCGUAGGCGGUUUGUCGCGUCUGCUGUGAAAACUGGAGGCUCAACCUCCAGCCUGCAGUGGGUACGGGCAGACUAGAGUGCGGUAGGGGAGAUUGGAAUUCCUGGUGUAGCGGUGGAAUGCGCAGAUAGUCAGGAGGAACACCGAUGGCGAAGGCAGAUCUCUGGGCCGGUAACUGACGCUGAGGAGCGAAAAGCAUGGGGGAGCGAACAGG